rnacentral:rRNA from 1 species
UACGUAGGGUGCGAGCGUUGUCCGGAAUUAUUGGGCGUAAAGAGCUCGUAGGCGGUCUGUCGCGUCGGAUGUGAAAAUCAGGGCUCAACCCUGGACCUGCAUUCGAUACGGGCAGACUAGAGUUCGGUAGGGGAGACUGGAAUUCCUGGUGUAGCGGUGAAAUGCGCAGAUAUCAGGAGGAACACCGGUGGCGAAGGCGGGUCUCUGGGCCGAAACUGACGCUGAGGAGCGAAAGCGUGGGGAGCAAACAGG